CAGCGAGCAGUUUUUAAAGAAUGAAAUAUUGCAUUUUACAUGUGGGAUGUUAAGAGGAAAUUGGAGGGUAUGGGAAACUGUGGUUUCUGCUUGCUUAGAGUAUUUCUUUAAAGGACUAUGGCUAAUGUAAAAAAGCUAGGAGAUGGCAACAGAACCCAUAAACAGUUCAAGAGGUUUCCCUCAGAGCAGUCAGUGGACUCCGCGUAGACAGACAUGGAGCAUGCCUUCUCACCUCAGGAUCAGGAAAUUCGUGUGGCCAGAAGGAUUUCUGAUUCAGUCUCCCUUUGAGGACAGGGAUUAUUUUUGAAACAUCACUGAUAGACAGUUGUGCAGUGUCUCUCUAAACCCCUCCAGCAUCCAGGACCCUCCCAUCAUUUUACGGCGGCAUAGCCCUGUUACAGACAGCUCUACCGUUGGAAAUUGAUUUUCUCCUGAGUUCGCUCUCCUUGUCUGGGACCUUUACUCCUUGGUCAGGAUCUGGACCACAGAAGACGUGUGCUCCUUCCUCCCUAAGAGAGUUCUUCAGAUGUUUGAGGUUGGUUUUAUCAUGACUUCCCUGUUGGUCUUCAGAUUCAAUAUACCGAGCCCAGUUUGCUGCCUACUUUGUAUAUGAAAUUAUGUCCUGACGUGUCAUUCUCCUUGUCACUGUUCUUUACGUUUGCCCAGUUUGUUGUUACAUCCCUCAAAGUGGGACUGAGACUCAUUCUCAUUCUUCAGUGUAAGCAAAAGAAUUGGCAUUUAAUCACCAACAGUAAAUAUCUGCAUUGUCCAU
rnacentral:lncRNA from 10 species